rnacentral:rRNA from 1 species
GACGAACGCUGGCGGCGUGCUUAACACAUGCAAGUCGAACGCUGAAGCUCAGCUUUUGUUGGGUGGAUGAGUGGCGAACGGGUGAGUAACACGUGAGUAACCUGCCCCCUUCUUUGGGAUAACGCCCGGAAACGGGUGCUAAUACUGGAUAUUCACUGGUCUUCGCAUGGGGGUUGGUGGAAAGGGUUUUUCUGGUGGGGGAUGGGCUCGCGGCCUAUCAGCUUGUUGGUGGGGUGAUGGCCUACCAAGGCUUUGACGGGUAGCCGGCCUGAGAGGGUGAUCGGUCACAUUGGGACUGCGAUACGGCCCAGACUCCUACGGGAGGCAGCAGGGGGGAAUAUUGCACAAUGGGCGCAAGCCUGAUGCAGCGACGCCGCGUGAGGGAUGGAGGCCUUCGGGUUGUGAACCUCUUUCGCUCAUGGUCAAGCCGCAACAAUGGUUGUGGUGAGGGUAGUGGGUAAAGAAGCGCCGGCUAACUACGU